GUUGUCGUGUCCGAGUGGUUAAGGCGAUGGACUACAAAAUCCAUUGGGGUCUCCCCGCCUAGGUUCGAAUCCUGCUGACAACU